rnacentral:rRNA from 1 species
UACGUAGGGGGCAAGCGUUGUCCGGAAUUAUUGGGCGUAAAGCGCACGUAGGCGGACUCUUAAGUCGGUGGUGAAAUCCUGGAGCUCAACUCCAGAACUGCCUUCGAUACUGGGAGUCUCGAGUUCGGGAGAGGUGAGUGGAACUGCGAGUGUAGAGGUGAAAUUCGUAGAUAUUCGCAAGAACACCAGUGGCGAAGGCGGCUCACUGGCCCGAUACUGACGCUGAGGUGCGAAAGCGUGGGGAGCAAACAGG